UCAUUCUGCGCAAGUGCACAUCCGGCAAGCUCCUUUCCACCCGCCUUCUCUCGUUGAAAAACGACGGCAAUUCGGCUUCUUUGGGUGUCUGCGGGAGCAGAGGCUUUGCACUGGGGCUGGGAGUACUGGGGACACGGCUCCGGGAAGCCUGGGGUCCUGCCAGUUCCGAUUCUGAGCUGCCCUCAUACCAUGUCCAUAACCGCAUGUGGCAUCUAGAGUUAAAUGACAAAAGGACAGUAAAAGAAAAGUUUUCUAUAUUAGACACUUUUGGAAGCUCUAAAUAUUGGGCCUGAAAUGAUUUUUUGUAAAGACACCCAGGGCAGAAUUAAGAACUUAAGCACAGUGCUGUUUACUUACACAGCUGAACCUUUUCAUUUCUUUACAUUUUUCAAGGAGCAGCAGAAAAUGAACAUAGUGCAGGUAAGUUCUAUUUUUAAUAAUCUCUUUGUUUUAUAGUGGAUUUUAUAAGAGCUUAAGAGUCUAUUAAUAUGAAAAAGUAGAAAUAGAAAUGGAUCAGAUGCAUUCAGAGUUGGGAAU